rnacentral:misc_RNA from 1 species
AGAAUAAAUUGAAAAUUUUAUUAAGGUGUGGACCCUUACAUUGUUUCUCAAAUCAUACAAAAGAAUUUCUUUCAAUUUACACAAACUGACAGCUCAAACAACCUCAAACACCAAACAGAAUGUGGUGCUCGAUCAUAUACAAGAUUUGAUUCCUUUAAAAAUAAUAGAAUAGUGAAAGGAAGAAAAAGAAGUGUGUACAAAGAAAUAUAACGAGUCAAUUAAAAAAUGUGUGAAAUCUGCUAAUAAAUACAAAACAAAAGUGAAUCCUCAACUUGCACAAAUUUUGCAAGUGUUUUACAAGAGGACGUGUAAUUUAUCCAAAACCUACAAACUAAAGAUUUGAAAAGGCUGCACUGGAUCUAAAUGUAACAAUAGUUCAGUCCCUUGUUAAGCUGCUGCUACUUGCAGCAGACAUCUUCCCAGAAUGCCUCUGUCAAUAACCAAGGAGGCAUGUCAUUAUGUUUAACUGAAGAAAGAAUAAGGAAAACUGAGAGUUAACUAGUUGCCAAUUCACGCCAAAUUGUUUAAAAGAUUGAGAAUAGAUACAAGAAUAGAGACAAAAGGGACAGUAAUGGCUCAAACUUUCCAAAGCUCUCACCUGCUUUCCAACACAAAAUGGAACAUAUUUAUACUUAACCAUGUGCAUGUUUUGGCGUUGCAUUGUGAGGACAACAGAACAAUCCAACAGCAGAGUAAUAUGGGCCAGAAGACAGAGACAUCAAACAUGGAAAAAAAGUUCAUUAGAAAGGCCACACAGAAAGCCUUGGUGAUGGAAUACCAGAACUUAAACUCAGGAAGGCGGCGAAUGAAAGGCUUGAACUCAUCCGAUUCUUUUGUUGGCAAAGAAGCUCCAUCCAAAACUUCAAGUUAAGGAUCAACCUUUGGCUAUAGAAACCCAAUCAACAAAUUCAAGAUAUAAAUUCCGAGACCAUAUGACACAAUGUAAAAACCUUGAACAUAGUAAACUCGCAACAUAUAAAUUGCCGCAGCUGCAAGAGUUCCCAGCCACCUUUGCAUUGUAUGAGGUGUUGAUCGAUCCAGAUAGUACUGGAAUGCCCUUGAGAAAUCAUUUCUCCACUUGGCAAGAGGUGCCACAGUGGAGGCAGCAUGACCUCCAGCUCCUUCCAUUAAUUAUUACCUUCUAAUUCUCCUUAAAGAAACGUCGCAGUCAGAGCAGGUCCCAGCACCGUACAGAUCCGAUAAAGCUAUAUAAAUGGUAAAGGAAUCUAUAUGGGUACCCAAGGCAAUCGAUCUCUUGUUUCUUGCUUCUCUUUCUUCUAGAUUUCUUGUUUAAUGCUAGAAAUUUUGCAGGUUAAUGCCAUCGUCGUAGCAUAUAAUGUCUCUCCUUGCUGAGUGACGCGUAUCUAUUUUUACCCGUCAAACCUUGAUAAUUCCCCAUUUUGCCCCCCCAUUUCUCUUGAAAAUUCCACCCUAUCCCCGUACUCUGCCAUUUUCUCCUCCUCCAUUCCCAUCCCAAUGUAGUGUACUGUAGUGAUUAGUUGAAACCUGAGGGGACUAACAGACCAAGAAGAAGAUGGGGACCCUAGGCAGAGCGAUAUACUCCGUUGGAUUCUGGAUUCGCGAGACCGGCCAGGCCCUCGAUCGUCUCGGCUGCCGCCUCCAGGGCAACUAUUACUUCCAAGAGCAAUUGUCUAGACAUCGAACUCUCAUGAACAUAUUUGAUAAAGCUCCUGUGGUUGAUAAAGAUGCUUUUGUGGCUCCCAGUGCAUCUAUCAUUGGGGAUGUUCAAGUGGGUAGAGGAUCAUCUAUUUGGUAUGGAUGUGUUUUGAGAGGUGAUGUGAACAGCAUUAGCAUUGGAUGUGGAACUAAUAUACAAGAUAACUCCCUUGUGCAUGUGGCAAAAUCUAAUUUAAGUGGAAAGGUGCUACCAACUAUAGUUGGGGACAAUGUUACUGUAGGCCAUAGUGCUGUUCUACAUGGCUGCACUGUUGAGGAUGAGGCUUUUGUUGGCAUGGGAGCUACACUUCUUGAUGGUGUUGUUGUAGAGAAACAUGCCAUGGUUGCUGCUGGAGCUCUUGUAAGACAGAACACAAAGAUCCCUGCUGGAGAGGUCUGGGGAGGCAAUCCAGCAAAGUUUCUUAGGAAGCUAACCGAUGAAGAGAUAGCCUUUAUUGCGCAAUCAGCAACCAAUUAUUCCAAUCUUGCCCAAGUUCAUGCUUCUGAGAAUGCUAAGCCUUUUGAUGAGAUAGUGUUUGAGAAGGUGCUGCGCAAGAAGUUUGCUCGUUGGGAUGAAAAGUAUCACUCAAUGCUGGGUGUUGUUCGUGAAACUCCCCCUGAACUCAUCCUUCCAAGAAAUAUCCUACCAGAUAAAUCACCCAAGGCAAUUUAAGGUUUUUUCAUGAGGUAUUGUUUCUGAAAUUCAACUCUUGAGAGUCAACUUUCAAGAAAUAUUAUCAUUUUGUGCUGAUACAUUAAGGGACUGCUUUCUUUGCCAAUUCCAAUAAUACCAAACAUGUGUAGGCAGAAUAAUGGCUCCUUUUUAGCUUAUGGCUCUGCCCAAAUUGUGGUCUUUCCGACACUAUUUUCUUCCAUGGGAGAAGUUAAUGCCAUAAAGGAGGGUUAACUUUGAUGUUCAUCUGAUCCUUGUACCAACAUGUUUGUUUCUUGAUACAAUUUUGGUGAUCUGUAUUUCUGGUAUCAAGUCAUUUCAGAGAUGACAUGGCAUGACUAAUUAUUUCAUUUGAACAGUACACUUUUUGCACUUAUUGUGCUUACUCCUGUGAACUUCUGGAUGCAUUUAUCAUUCUUUUAUAUAAUUUGUAACUAAACCAGAAAUCUAGGAAGUAAACAAAGUAGACUAUUUUGCUUGUUUGAAUAGAAUUACAUAAUGCCUUUUAAGUUGCUGACAGGAUCUGUGAAUAGGCUGCAUGAUAUAUAUAUACAUGCAAGGCCAUGAUGUUGCUGCAGAUGAGUGGUUUCUUCUGUGAGACUAUGACUGAAGGAACUUAUUGGACAUCAACUGAACAACUUUUGAAACUUUAAAUGCAUGUAUUAAUGGGAGCUCAAAUUUAGCUGUAAAAAAGAUUUGUCAAAAGAGCAAUUUUGGUGGUGUUAUUUUAGCAUUUUUACUGGCAAGAUAUCAAGUAUGAGUAGAAAAUGCAAUUUGGCUGAGGGACCAGAUGCAAGCAAUACAGUCAAAUGUCGCUUGAUAAAACUUCCCUUUGAUGUCUGUUCUUCAUCUUUCUUUUUCCUUCUCUUUUUUUUUUUCUCUUUCUUGCUGUCCUUUCUGACAGGCACAAUUAUUUGAUAUUAUACUACAUCAAUUUCGGGGUCUUUGCAACUUUGAAAUAAUGAUGUGACUAACAACUGUGCCACCUAAUAAGUAGUGACACCCUUAUGCAUUCCAUGCAAAACAAUUUUACACAAAUAACAUGCUUUUUACAUGGAUUGAAAGAUAUUCAUGCCUAUCAAGUAGUUUAAAAAAUGUAUAAAAGAAAAAAUAACACCUGUAAAGUUUUACAGCUUCUGUU